rnacentral:lncRNA from 1 species
AAUAUUAAAUCUAAAUCUAAAUGCUAAAUCUAAAUCUAAAUGUUAAAUCUAAAUCUAAAUGUUAAAUGUUAAAUCUAAAUGUUAAAUCUAAAUCUAAAUGUUAAAUCUAAAUCUAAAUGUUUAGAAAAUAUGCAAAUAGCCCACGCCUGUCAGCGUGCACAGACCCGCCCACACCUCUGACGGACCGACGUGCUGUGGAUGCGGAGGCAAAGAGAAGAAGGACCGAACAUGGCCGGCUCGCUCCAAUUAGGAGAUACUGAGCGGGCAGUUAUGGCAGGUGUGCCUGUUGCACUCCAAGGUGCACUUCCGCCGGUACCGUCCACACCGUUAACGGUCUCCACACCCCAGGUUAACCCACAGGCCCCUACAGCUGUGUCCUCAGGCACUGCCACCUUUGCUACCACUAUGACAUCACUGAGAUCAGUUCUGCCACUCCUGAAAGAAAAUCCCUGCUUUAGGGUCCUUCUUGAGAAGCCUGAAGAACCCAGUGAUAUUACAGCAGCUGUUGUGGCUGCCCUCCUGAAACCCAACUACUCUGUUCUGGGAAGCAACAGAAGACCAAGAGAGGAGUUAAUGGUGGUUAAGUUCAGAGAGUUUCUCCAAUGUGUACAAGAGAAAGAAGUUGGUGAACAUCUUCAUUCCAGGACCCUUACUGAGGAAGAGCAGGCGUUUAUCCUGACAUUGAAUCCUGCAUAUCUAGACAUGCACAGACACAAUAAAGCCAGUAAACCAAUGGGUGGUUUUGCUGAUUUAUUUUCUGUAUACAUUUCAGCUUUACUUAUUGUUGGUUAAAACAUUUCAGGCUAAUGUUGAAACUGUUUAGCCUUUCUACCAAUCUGCUCAAAAAGUAUUUACAGUACAGCAUUGUUAAAUGUACACCACUACUGAUUGACAUGUUAAUGUUACAUUCUUUACUUAAGUACCUUCAUUAUUAUUGGCUCAAGAGUUGUUUGUCUAGUGUGAAAAGCUGAAGUGGGGUUCUGUUUACUUGAGAUGUGAUUGAAUGAUUGUUAAAUGCAGCUUUAAACUCAUCUAAUGUGCAAUUGAUCCUUAGAAUGUACACAAAAUGAAGACAAAAUAAUUCCCAUUCAUUGUCUACAUCCAAGGCCUCCAUUGACUCCAGUUCAUAGAAAAUAUCAAGCAUCCAAUUCCUAAUCAGAAAUGGUACUGAAUUUUGUGUGCCUUAUGUUGUAUUCCCACAUCAGCUUGUAUAAAGUGGGUCCGGUGAUCCACAGGACUGAAGCCACUUCAGAAAGCGUUGUUCCCAGCAGCAGCAAACCCUCAAUGUCCUCUUUGGAAAGUACUGUAUGCCCAUCCUACAAAACAGGAAAAAACACAUCAUGAAUUGCACUGAACUAAUCAACCUGUUAUCAUUUCCUACGUGCAGCCACGUUGACUGCAUAGUCAAAUCCCUUGGCAUCACUAUACACAGGGCUGGGUAGUAAAUA